AUCGCCUCCUGGUCGCCCUCUCUCUCUCUCUGUAUUCCCCCCUGCCGCCACCACCACGGCCAACUCCGGCGAGGUCGGUCGCCAUACAGCACAUCCACAAGCUCAUCUCGUGACAUUGUUCCUUCUCCACCGCGUUGACCCGACGCGCCCCCCCUCAACGCGCGGCCCCGGCUAACCCUAGUGCCACGGUCGCCGGUCCACGGCGUCGCCAUCAACGCCGGCGCUGCGCCUGCACCUCCGGUUGGUCCUCCCCGACCCCGCCCAAACUUUCGCGCACUGCAUCGCCUCCUGGUCGUUGUCCAGGCGUCGCCAUCGACUGGAGGAGCGCGGGACCGUCGUCCUCGCGUUCGUGCACCUCCAGGAAGAAGACUGCUCGAGGUGAGACGCCUCGGAUCCGUCGUGCGAAGGUGAAGCAGCUCCAGAGGGACGAACGUCAAGGUAGCCACUGCUCCAUAGCUGGUCUGGGAUAUGAGUACAACCCUUGAUUCGUGCCGCCUGUUUUCUCUGCCGAAGUCUUGGUUGCGUGGAUGUGGCAAUGGUCGAAGGGUCGUCACCAGGGUGGCACCGGCGCCUCCCUUCCCUCUCCCCUGGAGCUGGAAGGUACCGUCUCGGGCUUCCCAGAUCUGUUGGAUCAAAAAUUGUGGGUGAUGGAAUCAAAAUUUGUUGGAUCAGAAAUUGCGGUUGAUGGAAUCAAAACUUGGAUGUGAUCA